rnacentral:sRNA from 1 species
AGAUAAAACGUUCAAUAGGGGAAAAUACCUAUCGUUUAGCCCACUAUUUUCGUCGAUAUCUACGCCUUUUGUCUUCCCAAAAACAGGAGACUGCUCUUAUUAAAGCCUUAGGUUAAUGUUUUUGCUAUUUUUUUGCCCCAUGAAUAAAGAAU